UACGUAGGGUGCGAGCGUUACUCGGAAUCACUGGGCGUAAAGCGUGCGCAGGCGGCGCGUUAAGUCAGGUGUGAAAGCCCCGAGCUUAACUUGGGAAUUGCGCUUGUGACUGGCGUGCUGGAGUGUGGCAGAGGGAGGUGGAAUUCCACGUGUAGCAGUGAAAUGCGUAGAGAUGUGGAGGAACACCGAUGGCGAAGGCAGCCUCCUGGGCCAGCACUGACGCUCAUGCACGAAAGCGUGGGGAGCAAACAGG
rnacentral:rRNA from 1 species